rnacentral:rRNA from 1 species
GACGAACGCUGGCGGCGUGCCUAAUACAUGCAAGUAGAACGCAGUUGCGACCGGGUGAGUAACGCGUAGGUCACUGCCUGGGAGCGGGGGAUAACUAUUGGAAACGAUAGCUAAUAACGCAUACUACCAGAUGGACCUGCGUUGUAUUAGCUAGUUGGUGAGGUAACGGCUCACCCAGGCAACGAUAAGUAGCCGACCUGAGAGGGUGAUCGGCCACACUGGGACUGAGACACGGCCCAGACUCCUACGGGAGGCAGCAGUAGGGAAUCUUCGGCAAUGGGGGGAACCCUGACCGAGCAACGCCGCGUGAGUGAAGAAGGUUUUCGGAUCGUAAAGCUCUGUUGUUAAGGAAGCGGUACUUAACCAGAAAGGGACGGCUAACUACGUGCCAGCAGCCGCGGUAAUUC